GUGUGCUACGCCACACGGUGGAUGACUAGACUCGGGAAGCCGACGAAGAACGUGGCAAGCUGCGAUAAGCCACGGGUAGGCGCAUGUAGCCUUAGAUCCGUGGAUUUUCGAAUGGGAUAACCUGAACUAAAGACUUCGGUCUUUAGCUCGCGCCCGGGGGAUGCUCUGGGCGUGGAAACUCCUCGAAGGGAAACAUCCUAGUAGAGGGAGGAAAAGAAAUCAAUCGAGAUUCCCUGAAUAACGGCGAGUGAAAGGGGAAGAGCGCAAACUGAACCCGAUGGAGUAAUCCAUUGGGGAUGUGGGGUUUUGGAAGCGGGCUUAGCGUCCCUAACGGGUGAGCUGAACUGGCCUGGAAUGGCCGGCCGCAGAGGGUGAGAGCCCCCUAGGCGAAGCCCGGAGGGGAAGUGCUCGUUCUCCCGAGUAUCCUACCUUGAAUGGUAGGUGAAGAUGGGGGUCACCGACCUCCAACGCUAAAUACGUCUCGAGAUCGAUAGCGUAAUAGUACCGCGAGGGAAAGAUGAAAAGUAUCCCGGAAGGGAGGUGAAAAGAGACUGAAACCGUGUGGUAAUAGACGUUCGGAGCCUGAAAGCCCAACCCAACCAAGAAGCCGUUCAUCGGCUUCUCGAUGAGGAAGGGCGGGGUUCCGAGUUCCGUCUCGAAACACGGGCCGGGGAGUUCAUGGCUGUGGCGAGUCUAAGGCCUGAAGGGCCGGAGGCGCAGGGAAACCAACGGUGCACACCGCCUAGAGCGGGAGGCACGACAUCUGAAAGGGUGUGAAGCCACAGCUAUGAGGCUAGAAGCCGGGCGAUCUAGCCCUGGGCAGGGUGAAGCCGAGCUAAAGCUUGGUGGAGGCCCGUAGGGGUGCUGACGUGCAAUUCGCUCCCAUGACCUGGGGCUAGGGGCGAAAGACCUAUCUAGCUCGGAGAUAGCUAGUUCCCUCCGAAGUGGGUCGCAGCCCAGCGGCGGACGAGGUGGAUUGAGGGGUAAAGCACUGAUCGGGGAGUAAGGGGCUUCGGCCUCGCUUUCCUUUCAAACUCAGAAUCUUCAGUCGCCUGAAACUCCGCUAGACGGGUUUGUGGGGGUAAGCUCCACAUCCGAGAGGGGAACAACCCAGACCGGGGUUAAGGCCCCCAAGUGCUGGCUAAGUGUCAAACCAAAGGGCGUCUUUGACCUAAGACAGCUGGGGAGUAGGCUUAGAAGCAGCCAUUUCAUAAUGAGUGCGUAACAGCUCACCAGCCGAGGUUGGAGGCACCGAAAAUGUGCGGGGCUCAAGUCAGCCGCCGAUACCUCGGGGCAGGAGUGAGAAGCUCCUGAUCCGGUAGGAGGGCGUCGGAGUCGGGGAGAAGCUGGGUCGUGAGGUCCAGUGGACCGUCUUCGAUUGCAGAUCCCGGUGGUAGUAGUAGCGCAGUCGGGUGGGAACUCCGACCGCCGGAAGGGCAAGGGUUCCCUGGCAAUGCGUCGUCAGCCAGGGGUUAGUCGGUCCUAAGGGUUGAUUUAACUAUCUGCUCGAAUGGGAAACCGGUUAAUAUUCCGGUACCAUGGAUACCUCCGUGACCAAAUCUUUGGCCACAACCGUCUUCUCCGACGCUUCGGGAUAGGGUGAGCAAGGCCUCCGCCUUGUCUAACCGUAGAAACCCUGGGAGAACCGUAAUGGUGAGACUUGGGUGAAUGCGGGAAUGGCCGGCAUGAGCUGGUUCAUCUGAAUCCUGGAGCCAGUGAAAAGGGGGAGGUGGCUGAGGUAUCUGUGACCGUACCCAGAUCCAACACUGGUGCCCUGGGUGAAAAGCCUAAGGCGUCUCGGGGUAUGUCGGGCAAGGGAAAUCGGCAAAUUAGCCCUGUAUCUUUGGUAGAAGGGGUGUCUGUUCCUCGGGCUAAAUGCUUGAGGGACAGAUCGCAGUUACUAGGAGGUCCCAACUGUUUAAUAAAAACAUAGGGGGCUGCUAGUCUGAAAAGAUGUGUACAGCUCCUGAAUCCUGGCCAGUGGCGGUACCUGAAACCUGGGUUCAACCGGGCUAAGGGCCGCUAAACGCCGGGAGUAACUCUGACUCUCUUAAGGUAGCCAAAUGCCUUGUCGGGUAAGUUCCGACGUGCAUGAAUGGAACAACGAGGGCCUCACUGUCCCUGCCUGGCACCCGGCGAACCCACGUAACCUGGACCGAACAGUCCGGAGACUCCCGUCGGGAAGAGAAGACCCUGUGGAGCUUUACUGCAGCUUGUCGCUGAAACGUGACGGUGGGUACAUAGCGUAGUCGGGAGCCUUCGAGGCAGCCUCUCUGGGGGCUGCGGAGGCGCCAAUGUAACACCGACUACUCAUUGCCGCGUUCCUAACCACCCGCGAGGGUGAGACAACGGCAGGUGGGCAGUUUGGCUGGGGCGGCACCCCCUCGAAAAGAUAUCGAGGGGGCCCAAAGGUCAGCUCAGGCGGGACAGAAACCCGCCGCGGAGGGCAAGGCCAAAAGCUGGCCUGACUGGCUCCUUGAAAAUAAGGGAGACAGAGGCGAAAGCCGGGCCUAGCGAACCUCCAUGUCCCCAUCGGUGGGGGCUGGAGAUGACAGAAAAGUUACCCCAGGGAUAACAGGCUCGUCGCGGGUGAGAGUCCCCAUCGACCCCGCGGCUUGGUACCUCGAUGUCGGCUCUUCCUAUCCUGGCCCUGCAGCAGGGGCCAAGGGUGGGGCUGCUCGCCCAUUAAAGGGGAACGUGAGCUGGGUUUAGACCGUCGUGAGACAGGUCGGUCUCUAUCUGAUGGGAGUGUGGGCUGCCUGAGGGGAAACCACCCUCAGUACGAGAGGAACAGGGUGGUGAGGCCUCUGGUGGAGCGGUUGUCCGGAUGGGCAGCGCCGCGCAGCUACGCCUCUGGAGAUAAAGGCUGAAAGCAUCUAAGCCUGAAGCUCCUCCCAAAAAUAGGCGGCCGAUCGCCUCUAAG
rnacentral:rRNA from 1 species